rnacentral:rRNA from 1 species
UGAGGAAUCUUGCACAAUGGGCGCAAGCCUGAUGCAGCGAUGCCGCGUGAGGGAUGACGGCCUUCGGGUUGUAAACCUCUUUCGACAGGGAAGAAGCCUCGGGUCACCGGGGUGACGGUACCUGUAGAAGAAGCCCCGGCUAACUACGUGCCAGCAGCCGCGGUAAAACGUAGGGGGCGAGCGUUGCCCGGAUUCACUGGGCGUAAAGCGGGUGUAGGCGGUCCGUUAAGUCGGAUGUGAAAUCUCCGAGCUCAACUCGGAAACUGCAUCCGAUACUGGCGGACUUGAGGACGGUAGAGGUCGGUGGAAUGACCAGUGUACCGGUGAAAUGGACAGAUAUUGGUCGGAACACCAGUGGCGAAGGCGGCCGACUGGGCCGUUCCUGACGCUGAGACCCGAAAGCCAGGGUAGCGAACCG